UCUCCUGUCACUUGUUAACCGUUCAGUCACUAAGUGGAGCCAAGGACCUUGGUGAGGUGGGCACAGGUGUUUCCCAUCUGCAAUCUUCUCCGGAGCUUUAAGAGGGAGAUGCAUCCUGCACUUCUUCGCCUUAAGUGCCUCGGAGUCCUAGGUUCUCUGCACCUUCUCUCCUGGUUCUGGAGGAGGACAUCGGUUCUGACCCAGUCCUCGUUACCUUCCUGGCAUGUUCCUCGGAUCCCACUAAGGCUGGCUGCCGCUCAAGCUCCGGAUCUUCCAAACAUCAGCAAACGAACCUGCCCACUCUCCAACGUGAGUCCAACAAACCACCGCACUCAGUUUCACUAACCAUUCCUUGGUUUAAAGGCUUCCGAGAAGUGACUGAAACUUACCUCGUCCAUUCGGAAAACCCGCUCGGAAGAGAUCCUCCAACCCCGUUCCCUCCUCUGGCGCGAAGCUAAUCAUUAAGAGAGAGUUCGUGUCGGCUGCGUGACCGCGUAUUUCUGACUGUCGGCUCACUUGACCGCAGUUACCUGCUGAGUGGAGCACACCCCGGUCUCAGUAUAAAUGAUGAGACCGGACAAGUGGUUCCCAAAGAAGAUGUUUUUUUUUUCAGCCUUAAGGAACCAGUAAACCCCAGACCUUUAAAGGGCUGUGCUUAUUCUCAAAGAAUCUGGGGUUAUGUAACCCCAGAAGCGUAAAGGCUUCGAGUGCGUAAAUACGCAGUCAGAGGCACCCUGUGCAAAUGAACAGGGAGGAUAAAUCAGGGCGGAGGCUGACAUGACAAACCUGCUGCUGUGGACAGUGAUGACACAGCUUAACAAACUGUAACAGUCCAGAAAAGCAGGAGCAAAACAUAACAGAAGGAACAUUUUCAGCAGCUGGAUCAUAAUGACGCAGCACAACAACCUCCUGCGUGCUUCAAGUUGCCAGAGCAGAGGGCAUCUGUUCGCUACACGGGAAAACGCGCAGUGCCAGGCCAGCUGUGGUUCUCACUGAGUCCACAGGAGGAUCCGCCAUCAGGAGUGGACGACUUCCCUCACACGCUCCUUUGUGGUUUUGCUCCAGUUCGGCUGAACCCGCAGCCUCUGGAUCGGGUCACAGUUCCUCCUGCAACCCAUGGAGGAUCCACAGGAUCAGCGGAAAAUACAAAAUAAUUUUAGAUAAUCAAAUUUGACCUUAUAUUAAAUAUUUAGUUUUUCUUGCUGUCGUAUUGAACAGUAUAGAAUUAAUUAAAACAUAAUUAAAAGCUUUUAAAACAACAAAAUCUUAACUGGGUUAAAAACAAUUAAAUAUCAGUUUCUAUAUUGGGUUCAUAUAUUUGUACAUCCGACUCUAAGGGCUUCACCAGUCAUGGACCUCACCGCACGUCACUGAAUUGAAAUCUAAUAUAGCCCGGGAAAUACCAAGUAUGUUCAUGUUACAGGCUAUUAUUAUAUCACAAAUAAUCCCAACAAUUUAUUAAGAACAAUCAUUAGGCCUAUAAUGAAACAUGAACGGGUAGAAUAGUGAUAAAGAGGGGUGUUUUCAUUGUACACUUGAUGUGUUAGAUGUAAUAUUUUCUUAUUAAAAUAAAGAAAAUAAAAAAAAUAAAA